AAGCUUGGAUAUUUUUGAGGUUGUGAUGGGUCUACUAUUGUUGGGAACCUCGAUCACUGAUGCUACAGGCGGGAAUCAUCUACUGUAGAAGCUCGAACGGAGACUUUCUGUUGGGGGAAGUUCGGUUUCAUGAAGAAUCUGGCGGAGGGUCGCCAGCGGUGAACUUCGGAUGGUGUUGGGGAGGUUCAUCCACUGGAGGAGUCUGGGGAUCCUAUGGAAGUCUGGAUGGCAUCGUUAAAGUUCGACUGACACUAUUGAAGGUUGAUGGCUGGGGAGG
rnacentral:lncRNA from 1 species